UACGUAGGGUGCAAGCGUUAAUCGGAAUUACUGGGCGUAAAGCGUGCGCAGGCGGUUAUGCAAGACAGGUGUGAAAUCCCCGGGCUUAACCUGGGAACCGCAUUUGUGACUGCAUAGCUGGAGUACGGCAGAGGGGGAUGGAAUUCCGCGUGUAGCAGUGAAAUGCGUAGAUAUGCGGAGGAACACCGAUGGCGAAGGCAGUCCCCUGGGCCUGCACUGACGCUCAUGCACGAAAGCGUGGGGAGCAAACAGG
rnacentral:rRNA from 1 species